GCUGCACAACAAAACCGCUUUGGUUUUUGGAUGGGUUUGCUCAGGAGCAGGGUUUCUGGCUAAACUGUCCCAAAGUGCUUGGACAUGUGCCUCCCUUGGUCUCUGAGCCUCCCUGGGGAUAGCUCCUACUAAACGUAGAAGAGAUGAAGGUUGAAGGACAGAACUCAGGCUAGCUCUUGCACCAGCCCCCACCACUACCUAUUUUGCCUACAAUAGGCACAUGUCUAAUCAAUUUUUAAGCAUUCCAUUUUAGGUCCUAAUUGUUCAUAAUCUAUCCUCACAACAGGACAAUGGACAGACUCGCUGCUCUGUAUAUUGAGUGGGAACUCAGGACAACCAACUUCCACGGGCUGAGUCUGUGGCACCAAAGAGUAGCAGUGCCUUCUGAAUACUAUUUGUGUUACAGUGAGCAAGGCUCACAAAAGUUUAGGAGAGUAGGACUGCCACGACAAAGGAGAACAAGGACUGGGUCACUAGACUGCAAUUUGGUGAGUGUGUGCUAUGUAUUGUGAGCUUGUAAGAGACUCAGCUGUGGUGCAACUGAUAGCUAUGAGAAGCAGUCAAGGGCCUCUUUACCAUAGGCCUUUCCGGCUCCAAAAUAGUGUUCAAUUAACCUCCAUACACAUAUUCGUGGUCUGGGAUAGUGAGGGUCUAUAACAUAAUGGCACAGAACGUGUCCAGUUUAGGAGUAGGCAAGAAGGGAACAGAGUGUACCUCCUGACCCAUCCAUUGAAUAAGAAAGCAGAGGUAUGAACCAGGCUAUUCACUGGCAAGAAGGUGUUGAUUUUGGAACUAGUGUGUGCUGGGUGUAUGCAUGAAGGGAGCAAUAGCACAACUAUUAACAUUUGUUCCUGGCACAAAAGGAAGUUUUGAGUGGGGUUAGAAGCAAUUUUGAUCUGUAGAACUUGGGGCCUAACAAUGAUUUUGCUUUUUCUGGAAAACCUUUCUCACCUUGCUUGGGGAGCCCAGUUGGCUGGUUCUACCAAAUUAGUAGCUGGAAGAAACAGCAAGUAUCAUGGGCAAAAUGAGGAACUAUGGCAGAACAUAAAGUCCUGGCAGCAUGAGACAGAUACCUCAUUUGCAUAGAUUUUCUUUUUUUGUCAGACAGCAGAGAUUUGCAAAUAGUGAGGAAAUCCUCUCAGCCCUCAUUAAAGUUUCUCUUUGCAGUGGACAUCAGUUAACACAGAAGCCCAAAACUGGUCAAAGUGCUAAGAGUAAGCGACUGUUGAGUGUACACUCUAAAUGAGACCUCCAUAUCACCCUCUCCGAGAGGAAUGGACGUCAUGAGAGGGAGACAGAAAGAAUGUAUCAGCUGGAGGAUAGGGAAGACUGAUGUGAAAUGUAAUUUUCUGGACAAGGCAAAGCAAAGCACAUGUGAUCUCUCCAACUGUAGGCACUGGAACAAGAUUGGAUCAUCACCAUUUCAUCAUGCAUGGCAGAAGGACUCAUGAAGCCCCAUCACUGACUAAGAGGCUAUGGCUAGCUAAUGGGUCUCUGGGGAGAGGUGCAGUUUGUUUUUUUUCUCCAGUGGUGUAGUCAUUGAUAAAUUGUCCAUGCUCCAUUGAGAAACCCUAAACUCAUGUUCCUGUAACACAACUCAAAGAAUAAGCAAAAAAGAUAAAGUAGGAGGGGCUUGUCUGGAAGAAUUUCAGCCGUGGAGAUGGGUGUGUGUGUGAGAGGAAACUACGGAUGAAAAUGGCCCAAACCCAGUGCGCAUAUGAAUAAAAUUGUCAAAUAAUCAACA
rnacentral:lncRNA from 1 species